rnacentral:rRNA from 1 species
AAUUAUACGUUGUUAUGUAUAACUAUUUCUGCUCCAUGGAAUACUAAAUAGCCGCAGUACCCUGACUGUGCAAAGGUAGCAUAAUCAGUUGACUUAUAAUUGAAGUCUGGAAUGAAUGAAUUAACGGGCAGCGACUGUCUUAGAUGAAAGAAGAGGAAAUUAAUAAGCAAGUGCAAAUGCUUGCCUAUUUAAAAUAGACGAGAAGACCCUAGAAACUUAUAUUAUUUUGUUGGGGCGACAGAAUUACACGGAACUAAUUUUAAUGUUACGUGAAUCAAAGAAGAAAGAAGAAGUUACUCUAGGGAUAACAGCAUAAUUAAUAAUAGUUUGUGACCUCGAUGUUGGACUAGGUAUUGUAGUUUUUAGAAGAAACUAUUAGUUGCUCUGUUCGAGCAGUUUUACCUACAU